GUGCAGAGGUCAGAGGUCAGUUUUCGAGAAUUGGUUCUUUCCUUCCACCAUGUGGAUCCUGGAGAUCAAACUCGAGGCAUCAAGCUUUGUGUCAGGCACUCCACCCACUGCGCCAUCUUGCCAACCCAGUGUACAACGUGUUUAGCCAUUAGGGAAAUGCAACGCAAAACUUCACUGAGAUUCCAUCUCAUUCCAGUCAGAGUGACUACCAUCAAGAAAACAAACAAAGGAUGUCAUCGAGGAUACAAGGCAUAAAAGAACCCUUAUGCACUGCUGUGAGAAGGGUCAACUGAGCCAUCACUCCGGGAUCACAGAUCUGUGCUGGACACUGGAGCUCCCCACUUUUCUUCAGAGUUCCCAUAUACAGAUGAAUACUACCCAACUGCCCCAUCCAUGUUAAAGCCUCUAGGAAGAGCACUUCUUCCAUCCCUGGGACCCACAUGGUGGAAGAUCUGUUGCCUGUUCUGCAAGAUAGUAGUUUUCUACUUGUGACAAGCCUCCUACACAUCACUCCCAUCCAGGCAGCCAUCACCCACUCAUCUAGAGGAGACUAUUUUUGUGCCCGAUUUGCUUGCCCAGUUUGCUUGCUAGAAAGUGCUGUACUUCAGUGUGUGAAGUACAGAUGGAAAGAAAAACAAAACAAAGAAUCUAGUCCUCUGCCUCAGUGAGGAGGGUAGAGAUUGAAAAGCAACAAAAUGUGCAGUAAGCAUCAAUGGUGAGGGGAGGUAAUGAAGUGGAAGGAGAGAGGUCAGGCUCAGUGAACCAUGGCUGAGACAUGUCCUUCCAGCUCAGGAUUUGGUGUGACCAUGCACCCAUACAGCUCAUCUUCCAGAAACAACUGGUGACCCACAUAUGAAAAGGACAAUGAACAAACAGGGUACAUCUUUAAUGAGACAUACAUGUUGCCUCUGAGGCCAGUUACAGUCAAUAAUAUCUAGAGAAGGCUUUAAGGAAACCAAGUAAUGGAAAUGAGAUAAAAGGCCACUUUUCACUGAAGAGGAAACUGCGUAGAUCCCAAGAUAUGCUGAGAAACAUGCCCCACUGUCCCUGCACUUAGGAGAAUGUGGCCGUAAGAUUCUCCACACAUUCGUGGCGUGUGUAAAACAGAAAUUAUUUGAAGUGGACAGACAGCCAUUACCUCUGUUCCAAUAAAUACCACGAGCUUAAACAUGCUCCUCCCAGCUGCACUGCCCAUCAUCUUGGAACAUUUGAAGUAAUACCCAUAGGAAGUUCAGGAUGAGCUAGAAAACAACCUUCCAAAAUAGGAGCUCUCCAGCCCCAAACACUCCCACUGCCCUGAGCUGAUUGACACCAACUCCCCCACACUUCACUCUGCUAAGGCAAGGGAGAGAAAAAGAGGGCUGACAGAGGCAACAAAAGAGUCUCUGCUUCAGCUUGUGCUAUGUGGGGAUGCAACAGCCCUGCCUGAGUGGUUAUCAGUGAUGGAAGCAUGAGACAAAGGUUGAUGGGAAUUGCACAAAUGGAAUCAAGACAGCCCUACCUGAACCCAUCCAGGGAACUCAGCACCUCCCCAAUCAGAACAAACAGAUAUGGGUCUCCUGGUGUGGUACACUGCCAGCUACCACAUAUCUUGCCAAAAAAGUUCAACUCUAAUUUAUUCAACCUGGGGUCUAACUUUCAGUUUAUAGGAAAUGUAUUGGUAAUGGACAAAGUUAAACAAUUCCUGCAGGAAGCAAGCAGUCAAAACCCAGAUCAUAAAACCUUAACAAGACAGUGGGUUUUGGCUUUGCUACACUACUUUGGGACUUUUUUAAAUGAAAGAGAAGAUGAUGAUGAAGAAAAAGAAAAGAAGGAUAUAUUCUAUAUUAAAAGAUAUGCAGAAGACAUAGUAGCGAAAUGCAGUGCUUGGACCUAUCCAGACAGGGAGUGGGACUGAGGGAACCAGAAACCUGUGCAGAAUUUGCAACUAAGUAAUACCAAG